GAGGGUGAUGCCUGCCCAAUGGUUGUAUCUAAAAGCGGUUGAUAAAAGUCGACCUCGUAAGGACAAUUGAAUGGCCGCGGUAACACUGACCGUGAUAAUGUAGCGUAAUCAAUAGCCAAUUAAUUGUUGGCCAGUAUGAAUGGCGCCACGAAGGCCCCACUGUCUUAAGGAAAUUCCCAGUGAAAUUGAAUUCGUAGUGAAGAUGCUACGUCCAAUUUGUUAGACGAAAAGACCCCGUUGAGCUUUACUGGGGCACUUACACGGCCCCGGCCUUCCCGUGUCCGGGAACCGGCCGAAUUUAAAUGGGUGGUUUAGACUAUGUGGCAGCCCCCCGCCGGGGCAGAUGAAACCCCACUCCCCCAUGUCAAAGGGGCUAACCCCCCCUUGGGGGGGAGAGUGUAAGUAGGACAGUUUGGUUGGGGCGACCGCCUUUUAAAGAGUAACGAAGGUGCGCUUAAGGUGCGCAAUUAAUGACUGAAGCCUGACUGCGAGGGGGACACCCCGAGCAGACACCCCUAAGCCCGCCCGAAGGGCGGCGGUGGGGUGG
rnacentral:rRNA from 2 species